rnacentral:rRNA from 2 species
CUAUACAUGCAAGUCGAACGAGCUUCCGUUGAAUGACGUGCUUGCACUGAUUUCAACAAUGAAGCGAGUGGCGAACUGGUGAGUAACACGUGGGGAAUCUGCCCAGAAGCAGGGGAUAACACUUGGAAACAGGUGCUAAUACCGUAUAACAACAAAAUCCGCAUGGAUUUUGUUUGAAAGGUGGCUUCGGCUAUCACUUCUGGAUGAUCCCGCGGCGUAUUAGUUAGUUGGUGAGGUAAAGGCCCACCAAGACGAUGAUACGUAGCCGACCUGAGAGGGUAAUCGGCCACAUUGGGACUGAGACACGGCCCAAACUCCUACGGGAGGCAGCAGUAGGGAAUCUUCCACAAUGGACGAAAGUCUGAUGGAGCAAUGCCGCGUGAGUGAAGAAGGGUUUCGGCUCGUAAAACUCUGUUGUUAAAGAAGAACACCUUUGAGAGUAACUGUUCAAGGGUUGACGGUAUUUAACCAGAAAGCCACGGCUAACUACGUGCCAGCAGCCGCGGUAAUACGUAGGUGGCAAGCGUUGUCCGGAUUUAUUGGGCGUAAAGCGAGCGCAGGCGGUUUUUUAAGUCUGAUGUGAAAGCCUUCGGCUUAACCGGAGAAGUGCAUCGGAAACUGGGAGACUUGAGUGCAGAAGAGGACAGUGGAACUCCAUGUGUAGCGGUGGAAUGCGUAGAUAUAUGGAAGAACACCAGUGGCGAAGGCGGCUGUCUAGUCUGUAACUGACGCUGAGGCUCGAAAGCAUGGGUAGCGAACAGGAUUAGAUACCCUGGUAGUCCAUGCCGUAAACGAUGAGUGCUAAGUGUUGGAGGGUUUCCGCCCUUCAGUGCUGCAGCUAACGCAUUAAGCACUCCGCCU